UUAGGCGGUUGUGUUUCCGAGUUCUUUGGCUAAACACGCCCCCGAGGAAUAGCUGGAUCCUAUGGGACAUGGAUUCUUAAAUUUCUGAGGCAGUUCUACACCCCCUCGGACGCCUGCCCCAGAAUGACUGAAGCACUGGUGAGGAGGCUCACCCCCAGGAUUCCACCCGGCCCACCCCGGGCCACCGACCCAGAAGAUGCGGACCUCACCGCUGCACCACCGGCCGGCCCCUUUCAUGUUCCAUUGGCAACCUGCAGUUGAGCGCAAUGGGGCUUGAAUAUGCUGCUUGAGCCCAACUCGGGCACUGUGUAGAGGAGGCCAGGUUGUUUGUCGGGGCCACUGUGACGUCAGAGGAUUUAUGCAUAAUUGUGUGUCUGCUGUCCCGGCAAGCUUCAUGGACACAGGGCUUCAGAGCCCGCUUGGAGCAGUCUCAUAACUCACCCUUCCCAGCGAGCCUAGGUUUGACCUCCGCUGCCGUCUUUUGGCUUGUGACUUUCUCUGACUUUCACACGUUCAAGCAGAGCCUGUCUAAAGACUGACAUCUUUCAUCGUGGAUUAUUCAGGUGUGAUAUCUGUUCGCCUUGCAUUUUCUGGGACCUUUUUUUCUUUUCCACAGUAUACUCGUCAUGGUCUUUCUCAGCUAUCUCCCUUAGAUAUGCUUAUCAGUCCGUUCUCCUUCAGUUUUCUGGGACCUUUUUUUCUUUUCCACAGUAUACUCGUCAUGGUCUUUCUCAGCUAUCUCCCUUAGAUAUGCUUAUCAGUCCGUUCUCCUUCAGUCCCAGGGAUUAAUUUUGUAUUUCUUGAAUCACCGGAUGUUCUCUAGGCCGAGGUGUGAGUGCUUUCGUGAUUCUUGUUUGCUGUCUUUGAAUUUGCAGCGGUCACUUGUAGGACUCUUUGCUAUCCUAGCCUACGUCAAACGAAGCACUGAGAACCCAUGGUCAUCUGGGUUGGUUUGACAUCCUGAGAACAGAAACUCCAAAUUCGAGGUGGUCCUGGCAACCCCCUUCAUGGACAUAAUGUUUGUCCGAGACAAAUUAGACAAAUCUGAUGAAUUCCUCUCUCCAGGAAAGAUAUUUUUCUUUCUCUUUUGUGGAUUUGGGAAGUUUCGAACUUGAGCCCUGACCCUUGAACUUUGCCCUAGAUUCCGUCUAGAUACGGGCUUAAUUUAUGUCUAUAGGGUGUGCCAUUUGUUGGACCUACAUCCUCAGCCCUGGCAUGUCUAUUUUUCUGGAAACAGAAUUGUAAUGUUCUAAUU
rnacentral:lncRNA from 1 species